CUUUUUUGUGUUAAAGGGUUAAAAUUUGGAUCUACAGAAGAAGAACAUUAUUAGAGGAGAAACAGCAAAAGAGAAAGAGAAAGGAGCUCAAACUAUCAAUAAUAAUAAAUUAAUUAUAAUAGCAGCAGUCAGCAUUGAAGUUUAUUGUUUGAAAAUGAUGGUUACUUCUCAGCGUUGUCUCAUCUGGAAAGAGAUCUGUCGUUGAGGACUGAAAUGGUAUUCAAUUCAGUAAUUAAUUAAUUGCAGGUGCUGUCCAUCAUGUGGGUAUACAGUUUAGGGUUAAUUCCCAAAAGUAAAAUUCUUCUAAUACUGAUGGUUGUAUUAUUAAUUAAUUAUAAUUUCCAGUUUGGUAACCUCAUGCUCCUUACCUCAUCGCUAAUGUUCACACUCCUCUCCUCUUUUGUGAGCUCCUCCUAUUUAAUUCAAAUUGUAUUCUUCAUAUUGCUUGUACUGUUGUACUGUAUCAUUUCAUUUUCAAGCUAACUACAUUUCUUGGCCGUCAAUUUUAUAGUAAUAAUUCUUAUCAUUAAUAUUUCAUUGUCCAGCACACACUACUACAUGUAUACUGCCUAUUGUUACUCUACACUGUCCAUUUCUUGUUAUAUGUUUAUUAUUAAUAUUGCCAUUGGCUCUAAUGUACUGUUACAUUACUGCAGUAAUGAUAUUAUUUUAAGUUAUUAUUAUCCACACAAUAGACAAUAGCUCUUUGUCAUGAAGUGGGCCAGCAUUACAGGCUCUGCCCCCCCCCAGCUGAUUUCAGGUCCUCAAUGUCAUAUGAUAAUGACAGGUUCUUCUCUUUUGGUAUUUCAGUAAAUGACAAGAACUCAUCACAAUACAUACCAGUGUUGUCCCAGUCUGGACUGACGCUACCAGUCCUGAUUCCUGUACUGAUCCCAGUGCCGUUAAUGUGGUAAGAUUGUAAGUAAUGGACUGGGUGUGCCCUUUUAAUAAUAAUUAUAUUAAUAUAUACAUGUAAACUAUUCCAACAUUGAAGCAGUUUAUAGUGUUGAUACUGUCAUUGAUUAAUAAUACUAAUGGAGGGGCUGAGGCAGCUGCUGCUGCUGCUGGUAGUGGAUUUGAACAAGUAGCAGAUCAAAUAAUAAACCUGGAAACCAACCUGGCUAAAUUAGUAUCCAGAGGGUCGGAAUAGCCCCGGUGGGGUCAGAAUAGCCCCAACAACUAGAUUUUGCUGAUUUCAAGAAAGUAUAAAUAGAAGAGACAAAAUAGAACUCAUUCAGUGAUGAAUAAAAUUAAUGAAAUAAAGCAAAAAAGAGUGAGUUAUGACUUCGUGAAUAUUUAAUUAGAUCAUAGUGCAGGAACGGGUCAGAAUAGCCCCGAGUUACUCUAAUGUACAUUGAAAUAAUGAUUGUAUCCUAUACAUACAGAUGUCCGAAAGUAGUAGUGUUUUAAGCUGUGACAUAUCAGUUGAUGAUCGUUUUAUUGUUACUGGAUCUGGAGACAAGAAGGCUACAGUGUAUACAUGAAGUUAUACUAUGAGCUAUAGUUUAAUGACUUUACUAUCUAUAGUAUAAAAAGCAAUUCUCAUUAUUUUUAUUUAUUGUUAUCUCCAGUAGGUGAUAUUGGACUUGUAAUGAAUAAUGCAAUCUACACUUGAGUUUAUUCUCUUUGUUACAAGUACUGACUACAAAACUCUGAUGUAAUAUAAAAUUUUUAAUAAUUCCA